rnacentral:rRNA from 1 species
UACAGAGGUCCCGAGCGUUGUUCGGAUUCACUGGGCGUAAAGGGUGCGUAGGUGGCGAGGAAAGUCGGAUGUGAAAGCUCGGAGCUCAACUCCGAAAUGGCAUUGGAAACUACCUUGCUCGAGGGUUGGAGGGGGGACUGGAAUUCUCGGUGUAGCAGUGAAAUGCGUUAGAUAUCAGAGGAACACCAGUGGCGAAGGCGAGUCCCUGGACAACUCCUGACACUGAGGCACGAAAGCUAGGGGGAGCAAACAGG